UAUGUUAUAUCAGUGCUCUAUUUUCCUGGUACAAAGCCAAGGAGACUAGUCGAUCUCUUGUUAAAGGCAUCGUCAAGCAAUUUGCAGUCUGGAAAAGCAGGUCGACGGCGGUGAUGGGAGGACCACGGAGGAUGGUGG